GGCAGUAUGGCGCAGAUGGGCAGCUUGCGGGGCUUGUGUGACGAUCGAUGUGAAAAAUAUACACCCCGAGGUCACUUGUUCGAUUCAAGUUGCUGCUU